AGAAUAUUGUUUAAUAUACUUCAUACUUAAUAGUGAAGUGGAUUUCGUUGAACUUUGGAGAUUUUCGAGGGGCUGUGUCUGUCAUUCUUGUACGUUACUGUCAAUGCAUUCUCAAGAAGGAAGAGAUUAAUGAACCCUACCCUCUUACAAUGAACAACACAUGGACACUCUCCGGAUGUUCCCUUUGCUUUUAUUAAGAGUUCCAAGAUGUUGGUCUGAUUGACUGGUGUGUGAAAUGUAACAGCCAAUGGUGUACUUAAGCCCGAACUGUCAGUCCCAAUAUUCAAGAG